GACAGAGGUGCCGAGCGUUAGGCGGAAUCACUGGGCUUAAAGCGUGUGUAGGCGGGAUUGUAAGUACCUUGUGAAAUCCCACGGCUUAACCGUGGAACUGCUUGGUAUACUGCGAUUCUUGAGCCACUUAGGGGCUACCGGAACAAAUGGUGUAGCGGUGAAAUGCGCAGAUAUCAGGAGGAACACCGGUGGCGAAGGCGGAUCUCUGGGCCUUACCUGACGCUGAGGCACGAAAGUGUGGGGAUCAAACAGG
rnacentral:rRNA from 1 species